rnacentral:rRNA from 1 species
AACGAGCGCUGGCGGCAGGCCUAACACAUGCAAGUCGAGCGCCCCGCAAGGGGAGCGGCGGACGGGUGAGUAACGCGUGGAAACGUACCCUUUGCUACGGAAUAGCCUCGGGAAACUGGGAGUAAUACCGUAUGUGCCCUUCGGGGGAAAGAUUUAUCGGCAAAGGAUCGGCCCGCGUUGGAUUAGCUAGUUGGCGGGGUAAAGGCCCACCAAGGCGACGAUCCGUAGCUGGUCUGAGAGGAUGAUCAGCCACACUGGAACUGAGACACGGUCCAGACUCCUACGGGAGGCAGCAGUGGGGAAUAUUGGACAAUGGGGGCAACCCUGAUCCAGCCAUGCCGCGUGUGUGAAGAAGGCCUCGGUUGUAAG